rnacentral:lncRNA from 1 species
CCGACGGACCUAGGCGGGCCACCCGGCUCUCCUCGCCGCCGCCGCGGCGGGCGCGGGGCCGCGCCGCGAGGCCUGAUCCCUGCAGCGCGGGCGGGCGGCGUCGCAAAGGGGAGCGAGCUCGAGGCGCCCGGACUCCUGCAGCACGUGAGAGUGAAUUCCCAGUGAUUGCUUUGGCCCCUACAACCAGAGAACAGGAUUCUUCCAUUCUUUUUGGCCACUAAAUGCCUAUGUAUACCACACAUUCCUGCGAGGGAAGAAGGGCGGAGCUUCUUGGAUGAUGAUGGACAUUCCACUGGACAGGAUGAGGGCAGAGAGUGUGACAUCGAUACCACAAAGGGCGCUCGGCAGCGUGUGCAGUGAGUGGUGGAAGCAGCCUCCCUCAUGGAAGCCUCUCUCCUGGAACCUUCUCACCUCAGUUCCCGCCACGCUCUUCAGUCAAAACCCCUGCCUUGUCCCUGGGCCUCUAGCGACCCAAAGCUGCAGUGCGUUUCGGGUUUGUGCUUCUCA